UGGGGGAUAUUGCACAAUGGGCGAAAGCCUGAUGCAGCGACGCCGCGUGGGGGAUGAAGGCCUUCGGGUUGUAAACUUCUUUUGCUCUGAACAAGGCGCACCAUGGGGUGUGUUGAGUGUAUGGGUUGAUUAGCGCCGGCUAACUACGUGCCAGCAGCCGCGGUAAUACGUAGAGCGCGAGCGUUGUCCGGAAUUAUUGGGCGUAAAGGGCUCGUAGGUGGCUGGUUGCGUCUGUCGUGAAAGCUCAUGGCUUAACUGUGGGUUGGCGGUGGGUACGGGCUGGCUUGAGUGCAGUAGGGGAGGCUGGAAUGCCUGGUGUAGCGGUGGAAUGCGCAGAUAUCAGGAGGAAUACCGGUGGCGAAGGCGGGUCUCUGGGCUGUUACUGACACUGAGGAGCGAAAGCAUGGGGAGCGAACAGG
rnacentral:rRNA from 1 species